UAGAGAUACAAGGCCUUAGAUCACCCUCAAAAAGUUUUCUAAGUGUCUUAUUCUUCUAACCCUUUGUUUAAUUAAACCUUUUUUUGCUUUGGUUUUAAGUAACAUUAAAACCAACAGCCUAAAAAAAUCAAAUUCUUAAUAACUAUAUCUGAACAUUUUAAUUAUAAAUUAAAACA
rnacentral:misc_RNA from 1 species